rnacentral:rRNA from 1 species
AACGACUCUCGGCAACGGAUAUCUCGGCUCUCGCAUCGAUGAAGAACGUAGCGAAAUGCGAUACUUGGUGUGAAUUGCAGAAUCCCGCGAACCAUCGAGUCUUUGAACGCAAGUUGCGCCCGAAGUCAUUAGGUCGAGGGCACGUCUGCCUGGGCGUCACGU